rnacentral:lncRNA from 1 species
GUUAAAUAUGUAAGAAUUGCCUUAUCUCUGUGUAUCUUCCACAGCGCAAGGGAGCAUCCAUGUGGCAUACAGCUGUUGCACAUGCUGUGAUUGGAUGCUUUGUCCACUGAAGCUAGGCUGGAACAGGAUUGCCACUGGAGGAUGGUGAGAAAGAGGCUGUGUCCUCCUCAUGUCAGUUACAUCUUCAGAUGCUCAGCUGUCUAAUAGGAUCAGUAACAGCACAGCACAUUGCCAAGCCACAUGGAAGGAUGAAGCAAAAGAAAAUCUCAGUCCAAAUGAAGAUGACAAUCAACUGGGAUCUUAUUGGGAGGCCCUGGGUAAGAUUACAUUUCCAGCUUUAUUAAAGUUGUUGGCAGAAUUUAGUUGUUUGCAGUUGUGUCACGAUUCCCAGUAUCUUG